ensembl:lncRNA LINC02263 long intergenic non-protein coding RNA 2263
AGUUAAAGACUGCCAUUUUGCCUCUUAGUGCGCAUGUGUGAGCCCUCUCAUCCGACUCCUGAGAUCUUAUCAGGAAGCUGCUGAUCACCAGCUUCAGGUGUUUCUAUUUAUUGGGAGACUGUCUUUCCCUGGCACCAGCUGCAACCAAUGAUUACUUUAGAGAGACAGUUUAACAACUGCCUGACCAUCACCUGAUGGUCAUCUGACAUUCCCAGGACUCCAGAUAAGAGCCCAGGCCAAAGGACACCUUGAUUUUGACCUUGUCAGACCUGGAGUUGAAAAACCAGCUGCACCCUUCUAGAAUUCUUACUUACAAAACUGGAGAUGUUACAAGACAAGAUGAUUUCACUGGAAGCUGAGUUUUGCCAGCUUUGGGGAAAUGCUGAUGCAGAACAUCAUUUAUUUAAGGCUGAUACUCAUGGAUAGAAGAGUCAAAGUGCGAAUAUAUGCACCCUUCUAUACGGAUUCUGCAGAAAGAUAUGCUUGGGUCAUGACUCAGGGUAUAUUUCUUCCUCUUAAAGUGUACCUUCCCUGGAGCUUCAGCCUAAUGCCUGAGGUCCUCAGUGAGGUCCCUCCAUUCUUCCUAUCUAAGCUGAAACUUCAACAUCUUCAGGAGUGUGUGACACCUGGAUAUUUAUGGCUUAACCAAGGAGGUGAAAGAUCUCUAGUAGGAGAAUUAUAAAAGACCUGUGAAAGAAAUAAUAAAUCACCCAAACAAAUGGAAAAAAAAACAUCCUAUGCUCAUGGAUUAGAAGAAUCAUUAUUAAAAUGACCACACUACCCAAAGCAAUUUACAGAUUAAACACAAUUCUUAUCAAA